ACGUACACUCCUACGGGAGGCAGCAGUGGGGAAUAUUGGACAAUGGGCGCAAGCCUGAUCCAGCCAUGCCGCGUGAGUGAUGAAGGCCCUAGGGUUGUAAAGCUCUUUCACCGGUGAAGAUAAUGACGGUAACCGGAGAAGAAGCCCCGGCUAACUUCGUGCCAGCAGCCGCGGUAAUACGAAGGGGGCUAGCGUUGUUCGGAUUUACUGGGCGUAAAGCGCACGUAGGCGGACUAUUAAGUCAGGGGUGAAAUCCCGGGGCUCAACCCCGGAACUGCCUUUGAUACUGGUAGUCUUGAGUUCGAGAGAGGUGAGUGGAAUUCCGAGUGUAGAGGUGAAAUUCGUAGAUAUUCGGAGGAACACCAGUGGCGAAGGCGGCUCACUGGCUCGAUACUGACGCUGAGGUGCGAAAGCGUGGGGAGCAAACAGGAUUAGAAACCCCAGUAGUCCCAU
rnacentral:rRNA from 1 species